GACGAACGCUGGCGGCGUGCCUAAUACAUGCAAGUCGAGCGAGCGGAACUAACAGAUUUACUUCGGUAAUGACGUUAGGAAAGCGAGCGGCGGAUGGGUGAGUAACACGUGGGGAACCUGCCCCAUAGUCUGGGAUACCACUUGGAAACAGGUGCUAAUACCGGAUAAGAAAGCAGAUCGCAUGAUCAGCUUUUAAAAGGCGGCGUAAGCUGUCGCUAUGGGAUGGCCCCGCGGUGCAUUAGCUAGUUGGUAAGGUAAAGGCUUACCAAGGCGAUGAUGCAUAGCCGAGUUGAGAGACUGAUCGGCCACAUUGGGACUGAGACACGGCCCAAACUCCUACGGGAGGCAGCAGUAGGGAAUCUUCCACAAUGGACGCAAGUCUGAUGGAGCAACGCCGCGUGAGUGAAGAAGGUUUUCGGAUCGUAAAGCUCUGUUGUUGGUGAAGAAGGAUAGAGGUAGUAACUGGCCUUUAUUUGACGGUAAUCAACUAGAAAGUCACGGCUAACUACGUGCCAGCAGCCGCGGUAAUACGUAGGUGGCAAGCGUUGUCCGGAUUUAUUGGGCGUAAAGCGAGCGCAGGCGGAAGAAUAAGUCUGAUGUGAAAGCCCUCGGCUUAACCGAGGAACUGCAUCGGAAACUGUUUUUCUUGAGUGCAGAAGAGGAGAGUGGAACUCCAUGUGUAGCGGUGGAAUGCGUAGAUAUAUGGAAGAACACCAGUGGC
rnacentral:rRNA from 1 species